rnacentral:rRNA from 1 species
AGAGUUUGAUCCUGGCUCAGGACGAACGCUGGCGGCGUGCCUAAUACAUGCAAGUCGAGCGGAAAGGCCCUUCGGGGUACUCGAGCGGCGAACGGGUGAGUAACACGUGAGCAAUCUGCCCCUAGCUUUGGGAUAGCUCCGGGAAACCGGAAUUAAUACCGGAUAUGACCACGGCCGACAUCAGCUGUGGUGUAAAGCUU